UAAGAUAUAUUACAAUGUUUUAAUCGCAAUAUUUGACUUUCAGAAAUGAUAAACAUAGAUUUCUACUAUUAUUAAAGUUUUAUAAACUAUGGAAAGUUUAAAGCAUAUGUGCACAUAAAGUUAACCAAGUUAGUAUGUGAAAUGAAAUAAGUGGCAUGUUUUAAAAGAUAGAGGGGUUAAAAUGGAAAUAUGCUAUAAAUAAACACUUGACAAAAAUUAGUCAGUGUUUGGUCUGGGCGUGCGAACGAGAGAAGGAACCAAGGGAACCAAAACCCUAAACAACCUAAAAUCAUCAAAUUGAAAGGGGAAUCGAGGGCUGAUCGAAUGCAUGAGUCUAGAUACCCUUUAAUCUAAGUGUAUUGAUCAUAAGGAACGUGUCAAGGAGAGCUCAAGCAUAGGAGGAUAACGGGUCAAGAUAAGGCAAGGUGACAAAUACACUUAUUGGAAUACUCAAGGUAAGUGAUUUCUAUAAUCACUUCUUUAGUUGUUUAAGUAAUAUAAUGUUUUAAUUAUUAAGUUCAUAUGAAGUUGAGGUUAAAUCAAUGGAUUAUUUUGAUAAAUGCACGAAUGGGUCGAAUAAUUCAUGGAUGAAUAACAAGCCGAAUACGUAUAAGUUAAGGAAUUCCUUAACUCGGAUGUUGGACUUCAAGAUCACGUGAUAGAAUAUUAAAUUACAAUCAUAUAGGAAGAAACGUGACGCAAAACGGACGAAAAAUGAGAGAGUUAUGUCCAUUUCAGUAAGGAUUAAUGGCUAGGAAAAGUGCAGAGUUGACACGGCCGGGUGGUGAACUGACACGGCCGGGUGAAGGUUCUGUCAAAAAUAUUAUUUAUGUGAUUUAUGCGCCGUAGGCUUCGGUAUAUUAUAUGUGAACUACGACGGGCCUCCCAAACAUGAUUUCGAGUGUUUCCUUGACGAUUAUAAGUUGUAAACCCAAGUCUAAGACUCAUGUAAUUUAUAUAAGAGUGUGAUAGAUGUAUGUAAUGAAGUUGGACAUGUAUUACAUGUAAAUGUAUACAAAAAUACGUACGGAACACGUAGGUAUGAAUACAUGAUUGUAGGUAUGAUUAAAUGUAUAUUAGGUAUGUAGAUGUGUAUGAUUGUAAGUUUGUAUGUGUGCAAGUAUGUGCGAAUGCAUGAUUCGGAUGCAUUUGAGAAUUAGCGUUACUAAUAAUGCCCUUGGGUUUGGAAUAUAAGUUGAUUGGAUGCAUUUAAAUGGUUAACGUCCUUUUUAUGAAGAUGUAGUAAAUGAAUAUGUUGAGAUUACAGGUUUGGCUAACCAAGUUAUUAUUGAGUAUGUUUGAAAGUGCAGGUGAUGAAUGUCGGACUUUCGAAGUGUUGAUAUAAUAAUGAAACGGUUGAAUGUUGAAAGGAUAAUCGGACUGAAGUAACUUAUGCGGUUAGAAUAUGCUAUGGACGUUUUAGUUUAUACAAUAUUAUAUGUUUGGUCGUCACCAUCUACUAACAGGUUCGUUGUAUGAGAGUAUAUGUCAUACCCAUUUAAUUGGGUAAUCGAAUGCGUAAGAAAAAUGAAAGUACGCACACGAAUGGAACUAAAAUGACGGUUUUAUAAGCAAACAAGUAUAAUGACUAACUUUUUAAAGCUUUGUUGUUGAUUGUAGGUAAAUCCUCAAUUUUGGCGACUUGGAGAAUCGGAGCGAGCGCGUGUUCGUGUUAUGCGAUACCAAACGCUUCCGCUAGUUUGUUCAAGUGUUUUUGACCCAAAAUUUGUUGUAUUGGUUUUUAGUAGUAUCUUGUUGAACGAAUUGUAGAAUUGUAUCUAGUUUGUUUAUGUUUAAAACAGGGGUAUGCUCGUUUUAUGGACGGGUCAUGCCCGAUUUUUUGUUAAAUUAUAGUUUGAUAAUAUCACAUUUAGGAAGGUGAAA